UCGAACGAGCGAGAGAGAGCUUGCUUCUCGAGCGAGUCCCGGNGAACGGGUGAGUAACGCGUGAGGAAACCCUGCCUCAAAGAGGGGGGACAACAGUUGGAAACGACUGCUAAUACCGCAUAAGCCCACGACCCGGCAUCGGGUAGAGGGAAAAGGAGCAAUCCGCUUUGAGAUGGCCUCGCGUCCGAUUAGCUAGUUGGUGAGGUAAUGGCCCACCAAGGCGACGAUCGGUAGCCGGACUGAGAGGUUGAACGGCCACAUUGGGACUGAGACACGGCCCAGACUCCUACGGGAGGCAGCAGUGGGGAAUAUUGCACAAUGGGGGAAACCCUGAUGCAGCGACGCCGCGUGAGCGAAGAAGUAUUUCGGUAUGUAAAGCUCUAUCAGCAGGGAAGAAGAAAUGACGGUACCUGACUAAGAAGCACCGGCUAAAUACGUG
rnacentral:rRNA from 1 species